rnacentral:rRNA from 1 species
CCAGACUCCUACGGGAGGCAGCAGUGAGGAAUAUUGGUCAAUGGCCGGAAGGCUGAACCAGCCAAGUCGCGUGAGGGAAUAAGGCCCUAUGGGUCGUAAACCUCUUUUGUCAGGGAGCAAAGGGCGCCACGUGUGGCGUUUUGCGAGUACCUGAAGAAAAAGCAUCGGCUAACUCCGUGCCAGCAGCCGCGGUAAUACGGAGGAUGCGAGCGUUAUCCGGAUUUAUUGGGUUUAAAGGGUGCGCAGGCGGAAGAUCAGGUCAGCGGUAAAAUUGAGAGGCUCAACCUCUUCGAGCCGUUGAAACUGGUUUUCUUGAGUGAGUGAGAAGUAUGCGGAAUGCGUGGUGUAGCGGUGAAAUGCAUAGAUAUCACGCAGAACUCCGAUUGCGAAGGCAGUGUACCGGCGCCCAACUGACGCUCAUGCACGAAAGCGUGGGUAUCGAACAGGAUUAGAUACCCCUGUACAA